rnacentral:rRNA from 1 species
CGUGUAGGCGGUUGGGCAAGUCAGAUGUGAAAGCCUUCCGCUCAACGGAAGAAGGGCAUUUGAAACUACCCGGCUGGAGUACGGGAGAGGAGAGUGGAAUUCCCGGUGUAGAGGUGAAAUUCGUAGAUAUCGGGAGGAACACCAGUGGCGAAGGCGGCUCUCUGGUCCGAUACUGACGCUGAGACGCGAAAGCGUGGGGAGCAAACAGGAUUAGAUACCCUGGUAGUCCACGCCGUAAACGAUGGGCACUAGGUGUAGGAGGUAUUGACCCCUUCUGUGCCGAAGCUAACGCAUUAAGUGCCCCGCCAGGGGAGUACGGCCGCAAGGCUAAA